rnacentral:tRNA from 1 species
GGGGGGAUGGCGGAAUUGGUAGACGCAGCGGACUUAAAAUCCGCUGGUUCGCAAGAACCGUGCGGGUUCGAGUCCCGCUCUCCCCA